rnacentral:rRNA from 1 species
GACGAACGCUGGCGGCGUGCUUAACACAUGCAAGUCGAACGGAAAGGCCCUGCUUUUGUGGGGUGCUCGAGUGGCGAACGGGUGAGUAGCACGUGAGUAACCUGCCCUUGACUUUGGGAUAACUUCAGGAAACUGGGGCUAAUACCGGAUAGGCGCUCCUGCUGCAUGGUGGGGGUUGGAAAGUUUCGGCGGUUGGGGAUGGACUCGCGGCUUAUCAGCUUGUUGGUGGGGUAGUGGCUUACCAAGGCUUUGACGGGUAGCCGGCCUGAGAGGGUGACCGGCCACAUUGGGACUGAGAUACGGCCCAGACUCCUACGGGAGGCAGCAGUGGGGAAUAUUGCACAAUGGGCGGAAGCCUGAUGCAGCAACGCCGCGUGCGGGAUGACGGCCUUCGGGUUGUAAACCGCUUUCGCCUGUGACGAAGCGUGAGUGACGGUAAUGGGUAAAGAAGCACCGGCUAACUACGUGCCAGCAGCCGCGGUGAUACGUAGGGUGCGAGCGUUGUCCGGAUUUAUUGGGCGUAAAGGGCUCGUAGGUGGUUGAUCGCGUCGGAAGUGUAAUCUUGGGGCUUAACCCUGAGCGUGCUUUCGAUACGGGUUGACUUGAGGAAGGUAGGGGAGAAUGGAAUUCCUGGUGGAGCGGUGGAAUGCGCAGAUAUCAGGAGGAACACCAGUGGCGAAGGCGGUUCUCUGGGCCUUUCCUGACGCUGAGGAGCGAAAGCGUGGGGAGCGAACAGGCUUAGAUACCCUGGUAGUCCACGCUGUAAACGGUGGGUACUAGGUGUGGGGUCCAUUCCACGGGUUCCGUGCCGUAGCUAACGCUUUAAGUACCCCGCCUGGGGAGUACGGCCGCAAGGCUAAAACUCAAAGGAAUUGACGGGGCCCCGCACAAGCGGCGGAGCAUGCGGAUUAAUUCGAUGCAACGCGUAGAACCUUACCUGGGUUUGACAUGGAUCGGGAGCGCUCAGAGAUGGGUGUGCCUCUUUUGGGGUCGGUUCACAGGUGGUGCAUGGCUGUCGUCAGCUAGUGUCGUGAGAUGUUGGGUUAAGUCCCGCAACGAGCGCAACCCUUGUUCACUGUUGCCAGCACGUUAUGGUGGGGACUCAGUGGAGACCGCCGGGGUCAACUCGGAGGAAGGUGGGGAUGACGUCAAGUCAUCAUGCCCCUUAUGUCCAGGGCUUCACGCAUGCUACAAUGGCUGGUACAGAGAGUGGCGAGCCUGUGAGGGUGAGCGAAUCUCGGAAAGCCGGUCUCAGUUCGGAUUGGGGUCUGCAACUCGACCUCAUGAAGUCGGAGUCGCUAGUAAUCGCAGAUCAGCAACGCUGCGGUGAAUACGUUCCCGGGGCU